rnacentral:rRNA from 1 species
GAUGAACGCUGGCGGCGUGCCUAAUACAUGCAAGUCGAGCGAACGGACGAGAAGCUUGCUUCUCUGAUGUUAGCGGCGGACGGGUGAGUAACACGUGGAUAACCUACCUAUAAGACUGGGAUAACUUCGGGAAACCGGAGCUAAUACCGGAUAAUAUUUUGAACCGCAUGGUUCAAAAGUGAAAGACGGUCUUGCUGUCACUUAUAGAUGGAUCCGCGCUGCAUUAGCUAGUUGGUAAGGUAACGGCUUACCAAGGCAACGAUGCAUAGCCGACCUGAGAGGGUGAUCGGCCACACUGGAACUGAGACACGGUCCAGACUCCUACGGGAGGCAGCAGUGGGGAAUCUUCCGCAAUGGGCGAAAGCCUGACGGAGCAACGCCGCGUGAGUGAUGAAGGUCUUCGGAUCGUAAAACUCUGUUAUUAUGGAAGAACAUAUGUGUAAGUAACUGUGCACAUCUUGACGGUACCUAAUCAGAAAGCCACGGCUAACUACGUG